rnacentral:lncRNA from 1 species
AUAAAUAAAAUCAAUUGGUGUUUGCGUGAUUGUUAUUGCUGCAGGUCACCGCCGGUGCAAGGGGGCAGAGAAGAGCAAAAGGUUCUCGAUCCACCGGUUUCUGCCAUCUUCGUCGGCGGCGGCGCGUGACCCACGCGCCGCCAGUGACGGGGGCGCGUGGAACAACGCGCCACCGUCGCCUAGCAGCUCCAGAAUUCGUCCUGACAGUGUUCCGGGUUGUUUUGGGGUCAUUUUUGUAAUUUUCAAAUUGUUUAAUGUAAUAUUUCUUUAGUUUUGAGUUUUUUUUUGUAUUUUGUAAAUAUGGA